CGUUGGACUGAGUGAACGACCGUUUUUAAAACUUCCUCAAUGCUCAACGGUAGGCGAAGAAAAAAAAAAGUAAUUCCUGAAGGAAAGAAUCAGAAACGACGAUUAAUUAUACGACGUGUCAAGUUAAUAAAUCGAUGUCAGACCUCAAGAACGUGUCACAAUGGGGCAACAUGGAAGUUCGUAAUACACCGAACAAACUCGAGCACCGAAUCACUUUUAUUUGGAUUAUAAAACACGACUGUUGAAAUUCCCGAGCAUGACUUAUGGAAUAAUUUGAAGUUGCAGCGCUUCAUUUUAAAUUAAAUCUAACGUAAUUUGAUAAAAUGGAGAUCCGGUCAAGCGCGGACGAAUUUUUACAGUCGAGAUUUGAUCGUCACGAGAUUCUCAGACGAACUGUCUAAAAAUAAGUGAAACGGUCGAAUAUGUUUAGAAAAUUUGAAUCGACGCCAGGUUUCAUUCCCUCGCGUAACAUUGUGACUGAUGGGAAUUGACGUUUUAAAUCAUCGAUAAUUAAUCGAAAAUUAUAUAACGUUAUAAAAUGGCACCUGCAUCAUUCUAUUUGUAUACUAUUCGUAUAUAUACCGAACGACAAAAUUAUAUCACAAUAAAAAUUGAAUUUCUUCUGCUUUAAUCUA